GCAGAACGGCUAAUGGGAGAAGCUAAAGAUAGAGCAGCUGUAAAAUCAAAAUUUGAGGAAGAGUCUAGUACCAUGAAUCGAAUGUAAAAUCAAUUCUAAGUAGAUAGAGGAGAGAAGCACUAAUGAUUUUGUUCACAAAACCCUCCAAUUUCAAUUUCAGUGCUUAUCUCCGCAACCAGUCUACUGAUGUGGAGGCACAGAGCCGCAUUUUUAUAUGCUGUUUUUUAAGACCUCACGCUUUAAAAAAUGGGUAUCGCAAUCAAUACCAUCUCUCUACGACCCAUACGAAGAUUAACACGCCUGCCUUGCAGAAAGACAAAGGCCGGCCUUCAAAGGCAGAGCUCCAUAAUAACUGGGAGGAGCCUGAUUUCUAUGAGGGCCACGAGGCCAAUCAUGAUGUUGAUGAGGAUGCAGGAUAUAUGCAACAGUUAAUAGAAGAAGUGGAGCUAAUGUUGACUCCAGAGGAACGAGCUAUUUUGCAGAAGAAUAAGGUUCCUGAUUUCAAACAACUGGCUUCGCCAAAAUGGAUACCGCUUCAUACACUUGCGACAUCGGGGCAGAUCCUCCUUAUGGAUGAUGUACUUAAAUAUGGCAUCGAUGUGAAUUCCGUUGACAAGUAUGGUUUGACUGCUCUUCAAAAGGUGGUAUUAUGCAAGAAGGAGGCUAUGAUUAGUCAUCUUCUCAAAAGGGGAGCAGAUCUUCAUGUUCGAGAUAAGGAUCAGGUGAACGAGGUCGAAGGCGAGAACACGAAUCAGGAUGGUGCUUCAUUGCUGCACUAUGCCGUUCUGGUUAAUGCGAUUCAGACACUAAAAUUGUUAAUCAAAAACAAUCUUGAUGUAAAUAUUGCAGACAAUGAAGGAUGGACACCUCUGCAUCUUGCCGUGCAAAGUAGGGUGAGAGAUGUAGCCAAGAUUUUGCUGCUCAAUGGAGCUGACAAGACAAUUAAGAAUAAGGGGUUCAAUGAAGACGUUUUUAGUGCAAGUGCCGUGUGGACAGGUUGUGGGGUUUUCUUCAGAUUAUGGAGUGGCGUGAGGAACUCUCUGCCUGGGUGUUUGAAACCAGCAAUAAAUUUGGAGGGCAAUAUAAAUACUCAACUGAGUACCCUUGAGGAUUCUAAGCUGGUGUGAAUGGCAAGGGAAAUUCGAGGGAUUCAAGUCUGAAAUCAUCACCUGCAUGGUAUGUUGCAGUACUCGAUUCUCAUGCCUUAGGAGCCGUUGAAUAGAUAUGGAGCAUUUUGAAAGACAUAUAAGGGGUUAAGUUGAUAUUGCAAGCGGAUUGUAUUACUUUCCUGAAGGUUUAAUUACUGCAGCAGAGGUGUAAGGGACUGAUUUUGUCCUAAGGACUAUCAAGUACUCAUUGCAGGCUUCUCUAAAUUCUCACAGGCGGUUGCAGUAUACUUAGCAUUACUCUGGGAAGCAACACUGAAAUAUCUGCUUUGAUCAUUUAUAUCUGAAUCAUUAAAGGAUGGGAAUACGCCUUUUGAUGUUGCUAUAAGUUUAGGAAAGGGAUUUAAAACCUAUGAAAUAACAAAGUUAUUGAAGAUUGUCCCAGCAACACAUGUAUAAGACAGUAGUUUGUGGAUAUGAUUCUGAGGAUUUACGUUCAGCCAGUUCACAUGUUUUCUGUGUGAAAAUCCCAUCAAAUAAUUCAAGGGGAAUGCAUUUAAAAUAUGGUAGGCUUUAUACUAAAAACAUUUGUAGCAUCAUCAAUUGUUACAUGAUUUUGAUUCUUGUUAUUGUCAUGUGAAUAAAUUUCAUGGAUUUGUAAGAAUAAUACCUCUAUUUUCUAUUGAAUAUUUAUGUAUUGGCUAGUUAUAUUAUAACACAUAUUUUUAACA